UACAGAGGUCCCGAGCGUUGUUCGGAUUUAUUGGGCGUAAAGGGUGCGUAGGCGGCGGAGUAAGUUGGGUGUGAAAUCCCGGGGCUUAAACCUCCGGGAAUUGCAUUCAAUACUGCUUCGCUUGAGUAACUGGAGAGGAGGCUGGAAGUUUACGGUGUAGCAGUGAAAUGCGUAGAUAUCGUAAGGAAGGCCGGUGGCGAAAGCGAGCCUCUGGACAGUUACUGACGCUGAUGCACGAAGGGCCAAGGGGAGCAAACCGGG
rnacentral:rRNA from 1 species